rnacentral:rRNA from 1 species
AGUCGAAGGGACAAUAGGUUGCGAAGCCGCGAGGCGGAGCCAAUCCAGCAAAACUUCCCUCAGUUCAGAUUGCAGGCUGCAACUCGCCUGCAUGAAGUUGGAGUUGCUAGUAAACGCAGGUCAGCCAUACUGCGUUGAAUACGUUCCCGGGGCUU